rnacentral:rRNA from 1 species
AUUGAACGCUGGCGGCAGGCCUAACACAUGCAAGUCGAGCGAGCGGCGGACGCGGGAGUAUUGUAUGGGGACUGCCCGAUAGAGGGGGAGAACUACUGGAAACGGUGGCUAAUACAGCAUACUGUCGGAUAACCCAUAUGGGGUUAGCUAGUGGGUAAGGUAAUGGAUUACCUAGGCGCCGAUACCUAGCUGGUCUGAGAGGAUGAUCAGCCACACUGGUACUGAGACACGGCCCAGACUCCUACGGAGGCAGCAGUGGGGAAUAUUGCACAAUGGGCGCAAGCCGGAUGCAGCCAGGCCGCGUGUAUGAAGAAGGCCCUAGGGUUGUAAAGUACUUUCAGUCGGGAGGCGUUACCGACAGAAGAAGCACCGGCUAACUCCGUGCCAGCAGCCGCGGUAAUAC